rnacentral:rRNA from 1 species
UACGUAGGGUGCGAGCGUUGUCCGGAAUUAUUGGGCGUAAAGAGCUUGUAGGCGGUUUGUCGCGUCUGCUGUGAAAAUCCGGGCUCAACCCCGGACUUGCAGUGGGUACGGGCAGACUAGAGUGUGGUAGGGGAGACUGGAAUUCCUGGUGUAGCGGUGAAAUGCGCAGAUAUCAGGAGGAACACCGAUGGCGAAGGCAGGUCUCUGGGCCACUACUGACGCUCGAUGCACGAAAGCGUAGGGGAGCGAAACAGG